UGGGGAAUCUUGCACAAUGGGGGAAACCCUGAUGCAGCGACGCCGCGUGAGCGAUGAAGCCCUUCGGGGUGUAAAGCUCUUUCGGCAGGGACGAAUACUGACGGUACCUGCAGAAGCAGCUGCGGCUAACUACGUGCCAGCAGCCGCGGUAAUACGUAGGCAGCGAGCGUUGUUCGGAGUUACUGGGCGUAAAGGGUGUGUAGGCGGUCCUCUAAGUUCGGUGUGAAAUCUCCCAGCUCAACUGGGAGGGUGCGCCGGAAACUGGAGGGCUUCGAGUGCGGGAUGGGAGAGUGGAAUUCCUGGUGUAGCGGUGAAAUGCGUAGAUAUCAGGAGGAACACCGGCGGUGUAGACGGCUCUCUGGACCGUAACUGACGCUGAGACACGAAAGCGUGGGUAGCAAACAGG
rnacentral:rRNA from 1 species